rnacentral:rRNA from 1 species
GGACUACCGGGGUAUCUAAUCCUGUUUGCUACCCACGCUUUCGUGUAUGAGUGUCAGUAUAGGACCAGGUCGCCGCCUUCGCCACCGGUGUUCCUCCUGAUAUCUACGUAUUUCACCACUACACCAGGAAUUCCACGACCCUCUUCCAUACUCAAGUUCUGCAGUUUUGAAUGCACUUCUUGGGUUAAGCCCAAGGCUUUCACAUCCAACUUACAAAACCACCUGCACACGCUUUACGCCCAAUGAUUCCGAACAACGCUAGGACCCCCCGUCUUACCGCGGCUGCUGGCAC